rnacentral:rRNA from 1 species
GGUCAAGUUAUUAAGGGUGCAGGGCGGAUGCCUUGGCACUAGGAGCCGAUGAAGGACGUGAUAAGCUGCGAUAAGCUUCGGGGAGUUGCACGUAAACUUUGAUCCGAAGAUUUCCGAAUGAGGAAACUCACUUAGAGUAAUGUCUAAGUAUCAUUAAGUGAAUACAUAGCUUAAUGAGGGGAACUCAGGGAACUGAAACAUCUAAGUACCUGAAGGAAGAGAAAGAAAUUCGAUUCCGUAAGUAGCGGCGAGCGAACGCGGAUUAGCCCAAACCAAUAAAGUUUUCUUUAUUGGGGUUGCGGACAUAUCAUAACGAAGAGGUAUCGUAAUUGAAGAGGUUUGGAAAGACCCACCACAGAAGGUAAUAGUCCUGUAUGUUAAACGAGAAGACUUCAGAUAUGAUCCAGAGUACCACGGGACACGUGAAACCCUGUGGGAAGCAGGAGGGACCACCCUCCAAGGCUAAAUACUACCUAGUGACCGAUAGCGUAUAGUACCGUGAGGGAAAGGUGAAAAGAACCCCGGGAGGGGAGUGAAAUAGAACCUGAAACCCUGCACUUACAAGCUGUGGAAGCACAUUUCUUGUGUGACCGCGUACUUUUUGUAGAACGGGCCAACGAGUUACGUUAAGUAGCAAGGUUAAGCACUUAAGGUGCGGAGCCGUAGCGAAAGCGAGUUUUAACUGAGCGUUCAGUUACUUGACGUAGACCCGAAACCGGGCGACCUACCCAUGAGCAGGAUGAAGCGAAAGUAAAAUUUCGUGGAGGUCCGAACCCACGAGCGUUGAAAAGCUCGGGGAUGACUUGUGGGUAGCGGUGAAAUUCCAAUCGAGCCCGGAGAUAGCUGGUUCUCCCCGAAAUAGCUUUAGGGCUAGCCUCAAGGUGAGAGAUACGGAGGUAGAGCACUGAAUGUCCUAGGGGGUAUUGCACCUACCGAAGACUAUCAAACUCCGAAUGCCGUCAUCUUAUACUUGGGAGUCAGACUGUGGGUGAUAAGAUUCAUAGUCGAAAGGGCAACAGCCCAGAUCGUCAGCUAAGGUCCCUAAAUGUAAGUUAAGUGGUAAAGGAUGUGGGAUUGCACAGACAACCAGGAUGUUGGCUUAGAAGCAGCCACUCAUUCAAAGAGUGCGUAAUAGCUCACUGGUCGAGUGAUCCUGCGCCGAAGAUUUCCGGGGCUAAAACUUACUACCGAAGCUACGGCAUCAGUAAUGAUGGGUAGGGGAGCUUCCCAUACGGGUUGAAGCAUGACCGUAAGGACAUGUGGACAGUAUGGGAGUGAGAAUGUUGGCAUGAGUAGCGAGAUGUGGGUGAGAAUCCCACAGGCCGUAAACCCAAGGUUUCCAGGGGAAGGUUCGUCCGCCCUGGGUUAGUCGGGACCUAAGCUGAGGCCGAAAGGCGUAGGUGAUGGACAACAGGUUGAUAUUCCUGUACUACCGAUAACCGUUUGAGAGAAGGGAUGACACAGUAGGAUAAGCUAAGCACACUGUUGGUUAUGUGUGCCCAAGCAUUGAGGCAGUCAAAG